rnacentral:rRNA from 1 species
AUGGAGCUCCUCAGACCAUUCGCUGCCCUGUGCGUCCUGCUUGGCUUCUUCGUCGCCGCGGCGGCGAUGGCGGCCCCGGAGGUGGUGAGCGAGACGGCGGAGGCCCAGUCCUCCUACAUCGUGCACGUCGCGGCCGCGCACGCGCCACGGCUGCCGCGCCGCGGCCUGCUGGCCACGCGGGCGUAUGGUGCGUUCUUGCGCGAUCAACUCCCCGUCGAGCUGUCCAGCCCGGCGCCUAGGGUGCUCUACUCCUACGCGCACGCCGCCACGGGCUUCGCGGCGCAGCUCACGGGCCGCCAGGCCGCGCAGCUCGCCUCCUCGGGCUCCGUGCUCGCCGUCGUGCCCGACGUGAUGCAGCAGCUGCACACCACCCUCACGCCAUCCUUCCUCGGCCUCUCGCCGUCCUACGGGCUGCUCAAGGUGUCCAACGGCGCCACAGACGUCAUCAUCGGGGUGAUCGACACCGGCGUCUACCCGGAAGGCCGCAAAUCCUUCGCCGCCGACCCCUCGCUGCCGCCGCCGCCCAGCAAGUUCCGCGGUGCGUGCGUCUCGGGUCCGUCGUUCAACGCCUCCGCGCUCUGCAACAACAAACUCGUCGGCGCCAAGUUCUUCCACAAGGGGCUGGAGGCCGCACGCGGUCGUGCCCUCGGCGAGGACUCGUUGUCGCCGCUCGACACCAACGGCCAUGGCACCCACACCUCCUCCACCGCCGGCGGCUCACCUGCCGCGGACGCCGGCUUCUUCGACUACGCCAGAGGAAAAGCCGUCGGCAUGGCCCCGGGCGCGCGCAUUGCCGUCUACAAAGCGUGCUGGGAGGAAGGGUGCGCGAGCUCUGACAUCCUCGCCGCAUUUGACGAGGCCAUCACAGACCGUGUCGACGUUAUCUCCGUCUCGCUCGGCGACACCGGCCUGGCCGACAACUUUUACAGCGAUACAACUGCGGUGGGCGCGUUCCGCGCCGUCAGCAAGGGCAUCGUCGUCUCCGCCUCCGCGGGGAACUCUGGGCCCGGGGACUCCACCGCCGUGAACAUCGCGCCGUGGAUCUUGACGGUCGGCGCGUCCACGCUCAACCGCCGAUUCCCGGGCGACGUCGUUCUCGGCAACGGCGAGACCUUCACGGGCACUACUCUAUACGCUGGCGAGCCACUCGUCGCGACCAACUUACCAGUGGUCUACGGAGGGGACGUGGGCUCCAAAGUGUGCGAAGAGGGGAAGCUGAAACCCGCCAAGGUAGCCGGGAAGAUUGUUUUCUGCGAACUGGGUGUAACUGCCCAAGCAGCGAAAGGACAAGCCGUCAAGCUCGCAGGUGGCGCCGGAGCAAUCCUUACCGGCGCCAAAGAAGACGGCGAGCAGGUCAUCACCAGCCCCCAUGUCCACCCCGCCACGGACGUCCCAUUCGCUGCCGCCGAGAAGAUCAAGAAGUACAUACGCACGCAAACUUCCCCUACCGCGACGAUCGUCUUCCGCGGCACCGUGGUCGGCUCGACGCCUCCUUCCCCUAGAAUGGCGUCCUUCUCGAGCCGCGGGCCGAACUUCCGCGCGCCGGAGAUCCUCAAGCCAGACGUGACCGCGCCUGGCGUGGACAUCCUCGCCGCUUGGACGGGCGCCAACUCGCCCUCGGAGCUUGACUUUGACACGAGGCGAGUGAAGUACAACAUCAUAUCCGGCACGUCCAUGUCAUGCCCGCAUGUGAGCGGCAUCGUGGCGCUGCUCCGGCAGGCGAGGCCAGAGUGGAGUCCCGCCACGAUCAAGUCCGCCCUGAUGACCACCGCAAGCAACAUGGACAGCGCCGGCGGCGUGAUCGGUGACAUGUCCACCGGAGAGGCGUCCACGCCGUUCACGCGCGGGGCCGGACACAUCGACCCCAACAGCGCCGUCGACCCGGGCCUUGUGUACGACGCCGGCACGGAGGACUACAUCACCUUCCUGUGCGCGCUCGGCUACACCGCCAAGCAGAUCGCCGUGUUCGGCUCGUCCUCCAGCUGCUCGACGCGCGCGGGCUCCUCCGUGGGCGACCACAACUACCCGGCCUUCUCCGUGGUGUUCACCUCGAACAAAAAAAAGGCGGUUGUCACACAGCGCCGCGUCGUGCGCAACGUCGGCAGCGACGCCACGACUACGUACCGGGCCAAGAUUACCGCCCCGGACGGCGUGCUCGUCACGGUGAGCCCCGAGACGUUGCGGUUCAGUGCGACGCAGAAGACGCAGGGGUAUGUGGUCACCUUCGCGCGGGAAAUCGGCGGGAGCGUCACGGAGAAGUACACGUUUGGGUCGAUUGAGUGGAGCGACGGCGAGCACACGGUCACGAGCCCCAUCGCCGUCACUUGGCCGACGAACCAGGUUGAGGAGAUGUGA